AACGUCGCCUCCGCCCCCCGGCCACGGCGGUACAUGCAAGGAACCCU
rnacentral:rRNA from 1 species